GAUCCUGGCUCAGGAUGAACGCUAGCUACAGGCUUAACACAUGCAAGUCGAGGGGCAGCGGGAUUGAAGCUUGCUUCAAUUGCCGGCGACCGGCGCACGGGUGAGUAACGCGUAUCCAACCUUCCGUACACCUCAGGGAUAGGCCUUUCGAAAGAAAGAUUAAUACCUGAUGGUAUCUUAAGCACACAUGUAAUUAAGAUUAAAGAUUUAUCGGUGUACGAUGGGGAUGCGUUCCAUUAGGUAGUAGGG
rnacentral:rRNA from 1 species